rnacentral:rRNA from 1 species
AUGUCGCGCCGCGGCCGCGAGGAGGAGGAGGAGUUCGAGGAGGUAGAGGAGGAGGAGGAGGCCGACGAGUCGGAGGUGGAGGAGGAGAGGGGCGAAAAGCGGUUGCGCGGCGGCGGGGGGAAGGGCUCGGGCGUCGCGAGCUUCAUCGACGACGCGGCCAGCGAGGACGACGACGAGGAGGAGGAGGAGGAAGAGGAUGACGACGACGAGGACGACGACUACGAGGAGGGCGGCCGCGGCCGCGGCCGCCGGCCCAGCAAGAGGAAGCGGUCGAUCCUGAUCGACGACAUGGCGCAGGUCGACGACGACGACGGCGAGGAGGAGGAGGAAGACGGGUACGAGGAAGGUUUUAUUGAUGAUGAUGCUCGGGCUGAUAAUCCUGACGAGGAUGUGCAAAGGGGUUCUAGACGUCAUUUCAAUCCAAAUCCAAUGGAUGAUGCAGAUGAUAUGGAGAACUUGGAAGAGAUGUUAAAAUGGAAAUAUAGAACGCAAUCACACUCUGAUUUUGAUGAAGAGGGUCUAACCGAGGUUGAACAGCAAGCUCUCCUGCCAUCAGUGAAUGAUCCAAAGCUCUGGAUGGUGAAAUGUGCGAUUGGACAUGAGCGAGAGACAGCCCUUUGUCUAAUGCAAAAGUUCAUUGAUAGGCAAGAUCUCCAGAUUAAGUCCGUCGUUGCAUUGGAACACCUAAAGAAUUACAUUUAUGUUGAAGCAGAGAAAGAAGCCCAUGUCAAGGAGGCUUGCAAAGGUCUGCGGAACAUCUUUUCUUCAGCAAAAAUACUUCUGGUUCCUACAAAAGAAAUGACUGAUGUUCUCUCUGUCACGAGUAAGUCUGCUGAUCUUUCAAUAGAUACAUGGGUCAGGUUGAAGCUUGGUAUAUAUAAAGGGGAUCUUGCUAAGGUUGUCGAAGUUGAUGAUGUGCGCCAAAAGGUUACUGUGAAGGUCAUUCCUAGAUUAGAUUUACAAGCUUUGACAGAUAAAUUGAAAGGUCUUAAGGUUGCAAAGAAGAAGUCGUUUAUUCCACCGCCAAGGUUAUUUAGUACCGACGAGGCGAGGGAGAUGAACAUUCCUGUAGAACGGAGGAGAGAUAGAGAUUCUGGGGAAUACUUUGAGAUGGUUGGCGCUUUAAAAUUUGAAGAUGGUUUCUUGCGCAAAAUAGUCUCGAUAAAAUCAAUCAGCACACAGAAUGUUAUGCCAUCACUUGAUGAAUUGGAGAAAUUCGGGAGAGUUGGUGAUGACGUGAAUGAAGAUGUGGCUAGAUUGUCCACACUCAGCAGGAAGAAGGGACAUUUUAUGAAAAGCGAUGCUGUAGUUGUUGUUAAAGGUGAUCUCAAGGACAUAAGGGGCUGUGUGGAGAAAGUAGAGGAUUCUAUUGUUCACAUCCGACCAACACCGACACAAUCUGAUCUUCCGAAAACACUUGCCUUCAGUGAGAAAGAUCUCUGCAAAUAUUUCAAUCCCGGGGACCAUGUAAAAGUGGUUUUUGGUGUUCAAGAAGGUGUGACAGGCAUGGUAGUUAAAGUGGAAGGACAUGUCUUGACUAUUUUAUCUGACACAAGCAAAGAACAUAUCCGUGUGUUUGCAGAUCAUGUUGUGGAGAGUUCUGAGGUCACGACGGGGCUUACCAGAAUUGGUGAUUAUGAAUUGCAUGAUCUUGUCCUUCUUGACAAUUUAUCAUUUGGUGUGAUUGUAAGGGUGGAAAGCGAAGCAUUUCAGGUUCUCAAAGGAGUGCCUGAUAAACCUGAAGUGGUGCUUGUGAAACUGAGAGAAAUAAAAUACAAAAUCGAUCGGCGCACAUCUGCAAAAGAUAGCAGGAAUAACACGGUGUCCACUAAGGAUAUUGUCAGGGUCAUUGAGGGGCCAUGCAAGGGAAAGCAAGGACCUGUGGAACAUAUACACAAAGGGAUAUGUUUUAUACAUGACCGCCACCACCUUGAACAUUCAGGCUUUAUCUGUGCAAAAGCACAAUCUUGUGUCCUUGUUGGGGGAUCGGUUGUCAACAGCAGCAGGAUGGGUGUUGAUACAGCAGAUCCACGGCUUGGUGCUUUUAGAUCUCCAGCAAGGAUCUUGCAAUCUCCUGGAGGGCUUCCGCCGAGAGGACCUUACAUGAAUUCUGGUGGAAGGUUUGGAGGAGGUGGUCGUGGUGGCAGAGGGCAUGAUGCCUUGGUGAGUAGAUGCAUCAAAAUUAAAUCUGGUCCCUACAAAGGAUAUCGUGGCCGUGUUAAAGAAGUGAAUGGUGCACUCGUGCGUGUGGAGCUUGAUUCACUUAUGAAGAUUGUCACAGUUAAGAGAGAGGAUAUUGCUGACACAGCGAAUGUUGGGACACCAUUCCGUGAAUCUCGUUAUUCAUUGGGCAGUGAAACACCUAUGCACCCAUCUCGAACGCCAUUGUAUCCUAUUCAAACUCCAAUGCGAGAACCUGGAGCGACACCAAUUUGUGAUGGAUCGCAAACUCCUAUGCAUAAUCAAGCCUGGGCACCAAUGAGUCCACCGAGGGAUAACCAGGAAGAUGGAAAUCGUGGCACUUGGGGCGCUUGGGGGAGCAGUCCAGCUUACCAGCCAGGAACUCCAGUAGCUAGGCCAUUUGAUGCCCCCACUCCUGGAUCAGGGUGGGAAAGUACCUCUGGAACUGGCUUUGGUGAUGCUCCAUUCAACGCUCCAACACCUAGUGCUCAACCAAUGACCCCAAUUCCUGCCUCUUAUUUGCCUGGAACCCCUGGUGGCCAGCUAAUGACCCCAGGGAAUGCUGGAAUGGGUGCAAUGUCUCCAAUGAUAGGGGAUGAGGGCGGCAGUAAUUGGCUCUUGCCAGAUGUUUGCGUCAAUGUGUCCAGAGGAGAUGGUUCCACCAAUGGUGUGGUGAAGGAAGUACUCCUGGAUGGAUCUUGCCGUGUCGCACUUGGGCCAUCAGGGAGUGGGGAUGAAGUAACAGCUCUUCCAGACGAGCUCGAGAUCAUCAGGCCGAAGAAGAGCGACAGGGUCAAGAUAAUGAAUGGCAGCAUGCGUGGAGUUAUAGGAAGACUGGUAGGAGUCGACGGGUCUGAUGGGAUUGUCCGGGUGGAAAACCCGCUUGACAUGAAAAUAGUAGACCUGGUGAUUUUGGGCAAACUAGCAACUUGA